rnacentral:lncRNA from 1 species
ACACCUCAAAGCACGGGAAAGUUAAUGCCAAACUGGGAAGGGCCGUAUGAAGUGAUCGAAGUAUCAAAACCGGGCACUUAUCGGUUAAGGGCAUUAGAUGGUUCCGAAAUCAAAAACACUUGGCAUGCUGGCAGACUUCGGAAAUACUUUCAAUAAAGAUCAAGUUAAUUCAUCGGAAGUCUGUAUAUUAUUGUUCAUUAUCAAUAAAAAGUCACUUUUUCACUAUUGAUCCUGGUCCUAUUUGUCCUAUGGUCACUAUGGUGUAAGGAGGUAUGG